GAUGAACGCUGGCGGCGUGCCUAAUACAUGCAAGUCGAGCGAACGGACGAGAAGCUUGCUUCUCUGAUGUUAGCGGCGGACGGGUGAGUAACACGUGGAUAACCUACCUAUAAGACUGGGAUAACUUCGGGAAACCGGAGCUAAUACCGGAUAAUAUUUUGAACCGCAUGGUUCAAAAGUGAAAGACGGUCUUGCUGUCACUAAUAGAUGGAUCCGCGCUGCAUUAGCUAGUUGGUAAGGUAACGGCUUACCAAGGCAACGAGGCAUAGCCGACCUGAGAGGGUGAUCGGCCACACUGGAACUGAGACACGGUCCAGACUCCUACGGGAGGCAGCAGUAGGGAAUCUUCCGCAAUGGGCGAAAGCCUGACGGAGCAACGCCGCGUGAGUGAUGAAGGUCUUCGGAUCGUAAAACUCUGUUAUUAGGGAAGAACAGAUGUGUAAGUAACUGUGCACAUCUUGACGGUACCUAAUCAGAAAGCCACGGCUAACUACGUG
rnacentral:rRNA from 1 species